rnacentral:rRNA from 1 species
GACGAACGCUGGCGGCGCGCCUAACACAUGCAAGUCGAACGGAGUCAAGAGGAGCUUGCUUUUCUUGACUUAGUGGCGAACGGGUGAGUAACGCGUGAGUAACCUGCCCUGGAGUGGGGGACAACAGUUGGAAACGACUGCUAAUACCGCAUAAGCCCACGGAUCUGCAUGGAUCUGCGGGAAAAGGAUUUAUUCGCUCUAGGAUGGACUCGCGUCCAAUUAGCUAGUUGGUGAGGUAACGGCCCACCAAGGCGACGAUUGGUAGCCGGACUGAGAGGUUGCGCGCCAACAUGGGAGCGGAGACAGGGCCCGGCCUCCUGCGGGGGGAGGGGGGGGGGGAUGUGGAAAAGGGGGGAAACCCCGGAUCGGCCGGCGCGGGGGGGAGAAAGAGGGUUUUCGGAUUGAAAACCCUGGUGGUUAGGGAGGAUAAGGAGGGACCCAAAAAAGAAGGCCCGGGCUAGUUACGUC